GUCCCGGCCACCGCCACACGCUGUGCCCCGCGUUCGGGAGGAGGAGCGGCGGCGGAGGCGGCGGCAACAGCGGCGGGCGG
rnacentral:miRNA from 1 species